AACUUCACAAGGGACAAUAUUAGCUGACAUUCUGUUGAUUUGUGACUGAUGGUUGUCUUUGUGGCCUAUUGAUAAACAUGUACCAGACUCUGGGUACAUAAAGCGAACUUCAAGACACA